CGGGGUGAGUAAUGUCUGGGAAACUGCCUGAUGGAGGGGGAUAACACUGGAAACGGUAGCUAAUACCGCAUAACGUCGCAAGACCAAAGAGGGGGACCUUAGGGCCUCUUGCCAUCGGAUGUGCCCAGAUGGGAUUAGCUAGUAGGUGGGGUAAUGGCUCACCUAGGCGACGAUCCCUAGCUGGUCUGAGAGGAUGACCAGCCACACUGGAACUGAGACACGGUCCAG
rnacentral:rRNA from 1 species